UCCCAUAUGGUCUAGUGGCUAGGAUAUCUGGCUUUCACCCAGGAGGAUCGGGUUCGAUUCCCGGUAUGGGAA
rfam:Daphnia pulex DAPPTscaffold_1357_Cont12624, whole genome shotgun sequence.